rnacentral:rRNA from 1 species
UAAUACAGAGGUCUCAAGCGUUGUUCGGAUUCAUUGGGCGUAAAGGGUGCGUAGGUGGCGGGGUAAGUCAGGUGUGAAAUCUCGGGGCUCAACCCCGAAACUGCACUUGAUACUGCCUUGCUCGAGUACUGGAGAGGAGAUUGGAAUUUACGGUGUAGCAGUGAAAUGCGUAGAUAUCGUAAGGAAGACCAGUGGCGAAGGCGAAUCUCUGGACAGUUACUGACACUGAGGCACGAAGGCCAGGGGAGCAAACGGGAUUAGAUACCCCGGUAGUCCUGGCAGUAAACGGUGCGCGUUUGGUGUGGGAGGAUUCGACCCCUUCCGUGCCGGAGCUAACGCGUUAAACGCGCCGCCUGGGGAGUACGGUCGCAAGAUUA